UUCAUCCAAAACUAUCUGCAUGCCUUUAACAGGAGCAGUAUAUUUUACUUACCUCUCUUUUCAAGAAUAGAAUAGAAUCAUGCAAUCAGGAAGUCACUUUUAGUUUCUAAUAAAUUCACUAAUCUUCUCUGCAAAUCAUAUCCACAUCUCUAUCUUUCUUUUGUCUUUGGUGCAUCUGAUAUCUGCACAAAAAAUGCAGAAGAAAAAUGAGAUGAAUAUCAAGAAUUCGCGGAAAGUAAGCAUCUGCUAUAGGCUUUACAGUUUUAUUUUGAACACCCUCUUUUCUCCUACCCUCAAACCUGUGACCAUGGGUCACAGUCUAAAUUCAGACAAUGGUCAUCAAAUGCUUCUUAAAGAUCAAGCAAGAAAUGGUCAAGAUUCGAACUUAGUGAAUUCUUCAGAAAUUUUGGUUGAGUUUCGACACCAUAUUGGUUCAAGUAAUCAGAGAGAAACUGGAGACAAUUCAAGAGUUGACAUUAUAAGGCCAAAAGAAGUCCGAGAAGCAAAGGGUGGAGGAGAUUUUGAGGCCAUUUCUUUGAUAAAGGUCAAGGGGAAAGAACCUAAAAAGAUCGUAACCAUCAAAGAAUUUACAGGGAAAUAUCAGAAAGAUAGUAGUGUGCAGCAGCAGCAGGAAGAUAAGAGCAAAUUACCAGUACCAAAAGAUCAGCCCCAUUCAGUUAAGAAACACGUAGUUCCAAGACUUCUGACUGUAGAUAAGAACAUCAACGAAAGAUCAGACGCAUUCAUUCGCAGGAAGAAGGCAGCUAUGGAGAGGGGAAACUCCAGCACUGAUGAUGAAAAUUUAUAGUUAGUCCACAGUAAGCAACUGGUAGAGAUUAUACUACACAUUGCUGCUAAUUUAAAUGCUUGCAACAGGGGGAAGAACUGCUAUUUCAUAUUUAAAGUGUUCGAGAUGAGCAAAGUCACAAUAGUUUCUUUUAGUAUUAUGCGUAGUUUGUCCUUCCUUUGGUCAAUUUUUACAUUGUUAAUUUGUUAUAGAUAUGAAGUGUGGUCUAUAGUUCUCACCCUUACAACUCCCUGUUUGAAAGCCC
rnacentral:lncRNA from 1 species